GUCCCUUCCGGGACAUCUGAUAAAAUAGGAUCAAUACAAAGAAGAUUAGCAUGGCCCCUACACAAGGAUGGCAUGCACAAAUCGAGAAAUGGUCCAACUUUUG